UUCCUUUCCACCUUCCACCUGCAUUGAAACACCGAAUGUGACAAUGCCAUUUUGUGCUUUUCACUUAACGCCUCCCUCCCCAGGGCUCUGAUUCCAAAGCACUAGAACAAUGAGCACAAUUCCUCCCCUAAGCAAAUCGUGGCAUGUUUUAUUUAUCUGUUUGUUUGCCUGUGCAGAAUAUUGAAGGCAAGAGGAAGACUGACCUCUCCUUUCCUUGGCUGACACUACUCCCACAGAGAGUCAGCAGCAUGUUCGUAAACACAAAAAGGAUGGGUAAGCAAAUAGAAUACAUUUUAAGGGCUCUGAUUAAAUUCUCCGUGGUAGCGUUCCAUGCACCCAGGAGCAGAUUAGGCUAGCUUAUGUCAAUGAAAGAAAGACAAGGACAAGACAUGGCAUUGGGGUAAAGUGCAAAUGUACGUGGAAGAGGGGGGAAAACUUGGAUAAGCUUUUCUUUACCCUCUGUUUCUUGCAAUUAGUUAUGGGAAGGGUUGUAGCUUAGUGGUUGAGUAUCUGCUUUGCAUGCAGAAGGUUCCAGGUUCAAUUCCCAAUGACACCGCCAGGUAGGGCUGGGAGAGGCUCCUGCCUGAAAUCUUGGAACGCCACUGCCAGCCAGUGCGGACAAUACUGAGCUAGCGGGAUCAUUGGUCUGACAUGGUACAUAGCACCUUCCUAUGUUCUUAAAUUAAGGGACGUGGGUGGUGUUGUGGGUUAAACCACAGAGCUUAGGACUUGCUGAUCAGAAGGUCGGCAGUUCGAAUCCCCGCGACAGGGUGAGCUCCCAUUGCUCGGUCCCUGCUCCUGCCAACCUAGCAGUUCGAAAGCACGUCAAAGUGCAAGUAGAUAAAUAGGUACCGAUCCGGUGAGAAAGUGCAUUUCCGUGCGCUGCUCUGGUUCGCCAGAAGCGGCUUAGUGAUGCUGGCCACAUAACCCGGAAGCUGUACGCCGGCUCCCUCGGCCAAUAAAGUGAUAUGAGCGCCGCAACCCCAGAGUCAGUCACGACUGGACCUAAUGGUCAGGGGUCACUUUACCUUUACCUAUGUUCUUAAAUUAAGUAGCUAGCUCAGUUGGCAGAGCAUGAGACUCUUAAUCUCAGGGUUGUGGGUUCGAGUCCCGUGUUGGCAAAAGAUUCCUGCAUUGCAGGGGAUUGGACUAGAUGACCCUUAUAGUCCCUUCCAACUUUAUGAUUCUAUUCUAGGAUGAUGAUUAUGGUGGUGGUGGUGAUAUAAUAUUACUGGAUUUAAAGAUGUUAAAGCAAAGAUUAUGGGAUAAUACACACAGUGACUUGCGAUCUGGAUCACACACAGUCUGUAGUCCGCUGGCGGUAGGAGUACAAUAUGGGCAUCUUAACACCUUACAUUAAAAACCUGACAGCACCAAAUUAUCGAAGGUUAUUCUCCAAAGCCAGACUAAACGUCUUUCCUUCUGCAGUGUUGGAUGGCAGGCUGAGAGGAGUUCCCUACCAUGACAGACUUUGCUCAUGUGCUCAAGACAUGGAUUCUAUAAAACAUAUUUUGCUGCACUGUGCGAAAUACGAGCAAGCCAGGGCUGAACUGACAUUACCCUUGCUGGUACCUUUUCCGGGAAAAUCAGAGGCUCACUAUGUCAGGUUCCUAUUGGAAGACCGGACAAAUGCUAGAACAUUAGCAGUGGCAAAGUUUUAUCAGUGGUUGCAAGAACCAAUGAUCCCUCUCUUUAAGUCUGAACAAAAUGCUUGUUUAACCUGGAGGUAGGAUGUCUGAAUUGUGCAUUGCUUUGUAUCAAUUUGUUGGGUCUCUGGACCGUAAAUAUAUAUAUAUAUAUAUAACUUAUAUGCCACCCAUCUGGCCGGGCCUCCCCAGCCACUCUGGGCAGCUUCCAACAGAAUGUUAAAAACAUGAUAAAAUAUCAAACAUUAUAAACUUCCCCAAACAGGGCUGCCUUCAGAUGUCUUCUAAAAGUCAGAUAGUUGUUUAUAUCUUUGACAUCUGGUGGGAGGGCAUUCCACAGGGAGGGUGUCACUACCUCCAUUGUCUCCCAAGAAGAACUAUUGCUAUUAAUUUAUCAAUCACCUUCUAAACCGCCAUCUCAAGGCAAUCGACAUGGGAAAUAGUUGCAGACACUUAAAAAUGCAAGACCAACAAAUAUAUUUAAAACAACAAAUGCAUUUAAAACAAAACAAGAAGAAGAAGAAGAAGAGUUUGGAUUUGAUAUGCCACUUUAUCACUACCCGAAGGAGUCUCAAAGCGGCUCACAAUCUCCUUUCCCUUCCUCCCCCACAACAAACACUCUGUGAGGUGAGUGGGGCUGAGAGACUUCAGAGAAGCGUGACUAGCCCAAGGUCACCCAGCAGCUGCAUGUGGAGGAGUGGAGACGUGAACCCGGUUCCCCAGAUUACGAGUCUACUGCUCUUAACCACUACACCACACUGGCACAAGAACUUGUUUUGUGGUAAUGACCCAUUUAUUCAGCUGGGAAAGCCUGUCAUAACAAAAAUUUGUUCCAAGUGUUCCCAGAAAGUGUGGGCAGUGGGCACCUGUCGUAUAUCAACAGAACAGGGCCAACCAGACUAAGAGCCCUGCUCUGAGUUGCUGCAAACUGGGCUGCUGAGGUUUUUGGAACUUGCAGGAGAGACUCUCCCUAAGACCAUAGAGAUCCACUGGUGGUCUCUCAGACCUUGUUCCAGCCUGUUUAGGGGCUGUUUAGUACCAUCAUAUUGAACUUGGCCUGAUAGCAUUUUUCUUCUUCUUUUUAAAAAGUUUUUAUUUCAUUUUAAUAUACUACAUACAAAAAGAAAAUAUAAAGAUACACAAAUAUCCAUCACCUCCAAACAACUAAGAAAGAAAGAAGAAAAUAAAAAUAAACAACAACAGCACCAAUACAUUGAAUAUUACUCACAAUACAUAUAACAUAAAAAUGACUUUUUCCUAUAUAGCUGACUUCUCAUCUACUCCUUACUUCUGUUUCUCAUCCAUUGUUCACUGCCAUAUUAUAGCAUAUUUUGGCUUUAAUGUUAUUUAUUCUAUCCUAGGUUUUCCAUCAGAUUUAAAACUCCUACCGAAGCUAUUCAAAUGCUGCUACAGACUUCAAACUGUCAUUGCUAUUUUUCAAAUAAAUUUUAAAGACUUCCCAUUUUGUGGUAAAUACUUCCUUUGAUUUAUUUUUUAUUCUUUUUGAUAUCUUUUCUAAUUCUGCAUAUUUGGUCAUUUUUUUUGAAUCCACUCUGAUCUAGAACUUGGUCUGAUAGCAAAUCGUUGAGCAGUACAAAUCCCACAAGCAAGGUGCUAUACGCUGGUGGUAGUUUGUUCCCACACAAAAGGAACCUAACCAUCACAUUCUGGAGAAGUUGCAGCCUUCAAAUGAACCCCAAGGGUGGUCCUACAUAGGUAAAGGUAAAGGGACCCCUGACCAUUAGGUCCAGUCGUGACCGACUCUGGGGUUGCGGUGCUCAUCUCGCUUUAUUGGCCGAGGGAGCCGGCGUACAGCUUCCAGGUCAUGCGCCCAGUAUGACUAAGCCAUUUCUGGCGAACCAGAGCAGCGCACGGAAACGCUGUUUACCUUCCCGCCGGAGCGGUACCUAUUUAUCUGCUUGCACUUUGACGUGCUUUCGAACUGCUAGGUUGGCAGGAGCAGGGACUAAGCAACGGGAGCUCACCCCAUCUCGGGGAUUCGAACCACCAACCUUCUGAUCGGCAAGUCCUAGGCUCUGUGGUUUAACCCACAGCGCCACCCACAUCCUUUGGCCCUACAUAGAGGCAUGUACAAAUCCAAUUUGCUAAACAGAAGCUCUUUGCACUGCUCCUCUGUUUGGAACAAAAGAGAGGGCGUGUCCAAUCCUUGCAUCCAAUAAAAUGUGGGCAUGUUCAAGGGGGCGUGUUCAAUGUGGGAGAGCCCGAGUCAGUGCAAAGAGGAGAUGAGCAGGAAGGACAGUUUCACGUGUGUUGCAGAUUUUUGAGGGGAUGUAUUCUGCGACCUUUUCAUGGAUGCCAUAGGAGAUACUGCCAGGCACCCAGAUAAAUGAAUUAUUCUCCACUUAAUUUAUGCAUCAGUGGCUGGUCCAUUAAAAACAGGUGCAUCCCUAUCAAUUUUGCAAUCAUAAUUCCUCCUGCUUUUCAUCUCAUUCUUACCUCAGCAAGAAAUUUUUGCUUCAUAGAACCCCUGCUACCAUCUAGACUUUCCAGUAAUCUCGCUUUGUUCUUCUUUCCGUGGGUAUCAAUAAAAUCUCCAUCUGUGGGUGUGUGGAGGGUUUUUUUUAAAAAAAAAAUUUAAAUUAAUACUGAUGUGCAGAUUGAGAAUAAAAACCUUCCCAGGCUGACUUCAAAAUAAGUCUUGGGAAUUUCAUUAAAUCUUUUUAAUGGGCCCUGUCAGACGAACCCUCUGUUCUCGAUGAAAUUGCUAUAUUACUUCUCUGUCAUGAUUGUGCUUUUUGGGGUUGUUUUAAAGGGGACGGAGGAAAAAUAUCUCUGAAGUAAAAGGAAAACAAUUAAAAAAGUUGUGACAACAUCUUUUCUCUUCUGCUUGCCCAGAGGGCUCGAUUUCAGAAUAUGGAAGCAGAGAUUUUAGCAAUACUUAAAGGGCAAGACUUGGAUAUAUUCAGGAUUUAAAAAUAUUUUUUAAAGCAGUAUGUUUUUAAAGCAAUUUUCUGCCUCAUCAUAACUGUUGCAAUGUUUUCAAAACACAUCAAAGUGUAGCUUAAAAAAUAAAAGGCAUAAGUGCAUUUGAACUAACACACGGGCCUAGUUCAUUUUUUCCAAGAAACUUUGGAUGCAGAAUCAACACGUUGUCCAGAGAUAAGCAACUGUGAUCUGAAACACAAGACUGCCGUCAUACCUUGGUUGUCGAACAGCUUAGCUCCUGAACAAAUCAGCUCCUGGACGCUGCAAACCCAAAAGUAAGUGUUCCAGUUUGCAAGUGUUUUUUUGGAAGUUGAAUGUCUGCCAUGGCUUCCAUGGCUUCUGAUUGAGUGCAGAAAGCUCCUUCAGCCAACUGGAAGCCGCACCUUGGUUUCCGAACGGUUCCUAGGGUGGAAUGGACUCCUGGAACAGAUUAAGUUCAACAACCAAGGUACCAAUGUAUCUUCUUCUUCUUUGGCGAUCCCUCGUAGCCGAGUAAGAUUGUCUUCCAGAAACACAGUUUUAACAAUGAGUCCGUAAGUGACUGUGGAGGCCAAUUCUGGACCCACAUGUCCUUCCACAGUGGGUACAUUGGUUCCCAGGAGGGAGUUGAUAACAGUGUGGAUUUGCCAAGCGUGCCUUCCUCCUACCACGUUUCUCCCUUGCGUCCUGAGUUCGAGUGUCUUCAAAGCCCAUGACACCUUUGGUAAAGGCUGUUCUCCAACUGGAGCGCUCGCAGGCCAGUGUUUCCCAGUUGUCAGUGUUUAUACUACAUUUUUUAAGAUUUGCCUUGAGACAGUCUUUAAACCUCUUUUGUUGACCACCAGCAUUACGCUUUCCAUUUUUAAGUUCAGAAUAGAGGAGUUGCUUUGGAAGACAAUCAUCAGGCAUCCACACAUGUCCAGUCCAACGAAGUUGAUGUUGAAGAAUCAUUGCUUCAACACUGGUGAUCUUUGCUUCUUCUAGUACGCUGAUAUUAGUUCACCUGUCUUCCCUAGUGAUGUGUAAAAUUUUUCGGAGACACUGUUAAUGGAAUCUUUCAAGGAGUUGGAGAUGGCGUUUAUAAGUGGUCCACGUUUCACAAGCAUAUAGUAAGGUUGGUAGUACAAUAGCUUUGUAAACAAGCAUUUUGGUUUCCCUGCAAAUGUCCCGGUCCUCAGACACUCUGCACUUCAAUCAGGGGAAAGCCACACUCGCAGAGCUCAGGCGAUGCUGGAUUUCGGCAUCAAUGUUGGCCCUUGUGGAAAGAUAACUGCCUAGGGAGGAGAAGUGAUCGACAUUUUCCAACGUUACACCAUUGAGUUGGAUUUGUGGCGCUGCAGAGGGGUUAUUUUGUACUUGUUGGUGUGGCAUUUUGGUUUUUUGGACGUUGAGUGAUAGGCCAAGCUUCUCGUAAGCUUCUGCAAAGAUAUUUAGGUUGGUUUGGAGGUCCCUGUUGGAUUGGAUCUAGCUAGCACAGCAGUGGGAAACCUCUAGCCCCAGGUCUGUGGGCCCAAUCAAGCCUACUAGGCAUUGAAGUGAUGGACUAUAUGGAACUGGCUGAGAUGACCGGCAGAAUUCGAGACCAGGGAGAAGGGUCGAUGGAAGAAGAUUGGAAAAAAUUCAAAAUAUACCUUCAAAAAUAUUGUAAUAUAAAAGACUGUUAGAAAGAGGUUGGAAAAUGAAAAUUAGGUCGUUUUGGUAGAUAUGAUAUAAAGGAUUAAGUAAAAUGAGUCGAUGAAAUUGACGAAACAGAGGAGGUUUAAUUACAUUAUUUUAAACUAAAAUAUGUAAAUGAAAAUAAGGUUAGAAGGACUUGCUGGAAAUACGAUCUGAACUAGAAUACAAAACUGGGAGGUGAGAGGAGGUCAUGGACAUAAGUAAAGGGAAAAGGCUAUGUAAAGGUUUAAUUUGUUUUUGUUUCAUUUUAACUUAAUGCAUUUUUAUACUUUUUGUUAAGUCUUCUUUUUUUAUUCUAUUUUAUUGUUUAUUUUUAUCUUUUUACUUUUCGCUUUGUUAAGGUUAAAUUUUUCUUUGUAUUUUGUAUGGUUUUUCUUUCUCUUUUUUGUAACUUUAAAUAUGGAAUAAAUAUCAUUUAAAAAAAAAAAAGCCUACUAGGCAUUGGCAUAGCUAGGGGGUGCGCAAAGGGUGGAUCGCCCUGGGCGGCACUUACUUGGGGGGGGCAGCACAAUGGAGCCCAAGGUGGCUCGCAAUCCCAGGUGCCCUGAGAGCCCAGCACUCCGCUCACAAAGGCAGUGCAGGGCUGGGCUCACAGUGUGCCUGAGCUGCCACAUCCCCAACCAGCCACCCACUGGUGGCUGAGAAGGAUGCGACAAGUAGUCUCUGGCCCCACAAGCAGCACUGGGCCUGCAGCACACCCAAGCCACAGUGUCCCUCCCAGCCACCCUCCAGGUGGAGGGCGCCCAGGAGGGAAGCGGCAGCUCGGGCACCCUGCAGGCCCAACGCUACCCAAAAAAGUAGCAUGGGUCCAGUGCACACACAUCAUGUCUCCCUCAGCUGGAGGGCACCUGGGAGGGAUGUAGUAAUUCUGGCAGCACACUCUGCCCCCACAGUAUGGCGCAGUUUGCAAGCGUGUGCACUCCCAGGCGUGCCGGCUCUGAGGUAAAGGUAAAAGGUAAAGGAUCCCUGGACGGUUAAGUCCAGUCAAAGGUGACAUGGGGUUGCGGCGCUCAUCUUGCUUUCAGGCCAAGGGAGCUUUAAUUUCUAUAUGUAAGCUGCCUUGAGUCCCAUCAGGGGAAAAAGUGGGGUAUAAACAAAUAAAAAGGUAAAGGUAAAGGACCCCUGACAUGUUAAGUCCAAUCGCAAACAAAGAAGAAGAGUUUGGAUUUGAUAUCCUGGUUUAUCACUACCCUAAGGAGUCUCAAAGCGGCUAACGUUCUCCUUUCCCUUCCUCCCCCCCAACAAACACUCUGUGAGGUGAGUGGGGCUGAGAGACUUCAAAGAAGUGUGACUGGCCCAAGGUCACCCAGCAGCUGCAUGUGGAGGAGCGGGGAAUUGAACCCGGUUCACCAGAUUACAAGUUCGCCGCUCUUAACCACUACACCACACUGGCUCUCAAUGACUCUCAGAAUGACUCUGGGGUUGCGGUGCUCAUCUCACUUUCAGGCCGAGGGAGCUGGCGUUUGUCCACAGACAGCUUUCCGGGUCAUGUGGCCAUUAUGACCAAACCGCUUCUGGUGCAACGUGACACCAUGACGGAAGCCAGAGCACAUGGAAAUGCCGUUUACCUUCCCACUGCAGCGGUACCUAUUUAUUUACUUGCACUGGCCUGCUUUCGAACUGCUAGGUUGACAGGAGCCUGGGACAGAGCAACAGGAGCUCACCACGUCACGGGGAUUCGAACUGCCGACCUUCCGAUCAGCAAGCCCAGAGAGGCUCAGUGGUUUAGACCACAGCACCACCCAUGUCUCUCGGCUCUGAGGUGCAGCCAGGGCUGCCCUGGGCAAGAAUAAGGGGGCAUGGAGCAGAGUGCAAGGAGUCUUGAUUUAAAAACAAAACAAAACUGCUGUCUAAAAUGCAAGACUUUAAGAAAAGCAUUGCUAGAUUGGAUCUACCUAGCACAGCAGUGGGAAACCUCUGGCCCCAGGUUUGUGGGCCUUAUCAAGUCCACCAGGCCUGCCCAUUAAGCUCAGAAGGCCAUUUCAGCCAUGCUACCAUACCCUCCCAGUGCCCUGAUUUUCCAGGGACACAACACAUGCCCUCCCACACCUGGGGGGUGAUGAAAUGUGGUGCCACCACGUCAAUAUCAUGUCUCCCCUCCUUUUGGGGGCGGACUCAGUGCCUCCCUCCCCUACCCAGGCAUGGUGGGCAUGAGGGUAAGAAAGGAAAGGUCAUUUUGCCAGAUUUAGGUAAACAUUUGCUGGAUAUUUGAGAAUACUUGCUUAUCAAAAAUUUCCUGAACAGAAAUUUUAAGAAUAAUUUUGUGAUGGGUUUGGUUUUUUUAGUGCGGGGGGGUUUCAGCUAUAAUGACACCUCAGUGCAUGGCAGCUGCAGGAGAAGACCAAGCCAUGCCAACUCCAGCUGUAGCAAGCUGUUAGCUCAAAGGAUCACAGGUCCUCUGAAUUGUAAAUGACAGAAAUCAUGCAUUGAAAAUGUAGUUACCCGGACGGGGGGUGGGGGAGAGAGAGAAAUGUGACUACAGAAUCCUCUCAUGAUUUAUUGAUAUUGUUCCUCGCCAUCUCUGCAUAUAAUCUGGAAAUAAAUUCUUGUUGCCACUCGCUCAAAGAGGGAAAUAUUUAUUCCAACAGGUUCGGGGAGCAGAUUGAAUUAAUCAUGAUCCGCCAGUCUGCACUCCAGGUAAUGCUAACCUUGGCACCAUUUCCUCAGCUGUUCUCGAGGUAGCUGCAGCAUACAAAUGUAGCUGAUAGAAGUAAAUGCAUUUCUGCUUCCACAAUGGUGCAAAAAUAACUCUCACACCCACUCAGAGAAUGGUUUGGUCAUCCGACACUCUGGCCUUUGCCAAUCUAACGCAGUCCAGCUCGGAUUAAACCAUUAAGCAAAAUAAACAUGUGCUCAAGGCAUCAAGGGAAGCUGGACACCACAGAAAUUUCCCACUGCCAGAUUUUUAUCUUUUUUAAAAAUCAUUUUUACUGAUUUUCCAAUAAAAAACAUCCAGUUAAUAUAUCCAAUCAUAAUACUCCAAUUAAAAUAAAAAACUAAAAUAAAAAGACCAAAUUACAGUCCAAAUUAUAAUUAUUAAUUGUUGUUGUUGUUGUUUAGUCAUUUAGUCGUGUCUAACUCUUUGUGACCCCAUGGACCAGAGCACGCCAGGCACUCCUGUCUUCCACUGCCUCCCGCAGUUUGGUCAAACUCAUGCUGGUAGCUUCGAGAACACCGUCCAACCAUCUCGUCCUCUGUUGUCCCCUUCUCCUUGUGCCCUCCAUCUUUCCCAACAUCAAGGUCUUUUCCAGGGAGUCUUCUCUUCUCAUAUAUACCGUAUUUUUUGCUCUAUAGGACACACUUUUUCCCCUUCAAAAAUGAAGGGGAAAUGUGUGUGUGUCCUAUGGAGCGAAGGCGCCAUAGUCCCGCGACCCUCUCCCGGCUGGAGAGGUGACGUGCGGCUAUGGCAGGAGCCUCUAUAGCCGUGCGUCUCCUCUCCAGCCGGGAGAGCACGCGUGGGGCUAAAGAAGCCCCCCACGACCCUCUACCGGCUGGAGAGGUGAUGCGUGGCUAUGGCAGGAGCCUCUCCGCUGCGCCUUUCCGCUGCUCCCUGACCUGCUCUUUGGGGCUGGUGGUGGGCUUCCCCCCGCCAGCCCCAAAGAGCAGGUCGAAAGGAACCUGAAGCCUGGAGAGCGAGAGGGGUCAGUGCACACCGACCCCUCUCACUCUCCAGGCUUCCAAGGUAGCCGCCUGAACGGCACCUUGUUUUAGAGCGGGAAAACAAGAGGGGGAAAGUUCUCCCCCUCUCUGUGCAGCGCCUCCUGCCGCUUCGCUGAAGGGGCACUGGGCAGAGAGGGGGAGAAUUUUUUUUUCUUGUUCUCCCCCCUCUAAAACAAAGUGCGUCCUAUUGUUCGGUGCGUCCUAUGGUGCGAAAAAUACGGUAAAUAAAAUGGAAGUAUACAAAAUUAUAUUUCAUUUUCUGUCUUAUUGUUUCUUUAAUUCUGUAGGCUUUCUUUAAUUUUGAAAAAUAAAAUUUUAUUUUACAGUGUUUUAUUGUUUAUAUUUUGAAUAAUAAUAAUAAUAGCAAACUCAUACGGGAAUGUGGAGAACUGAACCUGGUACUGGAAAAACGAGAAACAGAGAAGCCAAAAUUGGCAGUCAACUCUAGUUAGUUUUAUGGCUGUCAUUGCAACCCCUGCCUCCAAGUUUAUGUUAUGCUUUUUGCUGUUAAAAUUUUCUAAGGCACUUGGAGGCUUCCUGAUUAGCAAGCAACUCAAAAAGUGAAAAUAAUAAUAAUAAUAAUAAUAAUAAUAAUAAUAAUACAAAAUGUUUGUUGAACUUCUUCCCUACAGAAAUCAAUGGGACACGUCUGUCGUGGUUUAACUCAAGUUCAGCUAAGUCUGUAUCCAACCCAUUGGUGUUUCCCUCCCCCUCUAUGAGAUUUUGUUCCCACAAUGCAUGCU